GAAUACUGGACAAUGGGCGGAAGCCUGAUCCAGCCAUGCCGCGUGGGUGAAGAAGGACCUUUGGUUGUAAAGCACUUUAAGCGAGGAGGAAGAGCUCUUGGUUAAUACCCAAGCUGCGUGGACGUUACCCGCAGAAUAAGCACCGGCUAACUCCGAGCCAGCAGCCGCGGUAAUACAGAGGGUGCAAGCGUUAAUCGGAUUUACUGGGCGUAAAGCGCGCGUAGGUGGACAAUUAAGUCAAAUGUGAAAUGCCCGAGCUUAACUUGGGAAUUGCAUUCGAUACUGGUUGGCUAGAGUAUGGGAGAGGAUGGUAGAAUUCAAGGUGUAGCGGUGAAAUGCGUAGAGAUCUGGAGGAAUACCGCUGGCGAAGGCAGCCAUCUGGCCUAAUACUGACACUGAGGUGCGAAAGCAUGGGGAGCAAACA
rnacentral:rRNA from 1 species